rnacentral:lncRNA from 1 species
GCCUCCUUAUUUCAUUAGUAUUUAAUGCAACACUUGUUGCUUGUUCUCAGUGACACGUGAAUGGGUAAAAUGGCAUCUUUCACAGUAUUUCUGCCAUCCUUUUACUUGUUUUGGGUCAUCACUUCUCACUUCCUGUUUGCAUUUACUCAUGUCCAUGGACUUCCAAAACCUGAGCUGAUUGUAUCCUCUUCAGUAAUUUUGCCGACAACCACAGUCACUCUGAGUUGUGUAGUCCCUCAGGAUCCAGUGCCUCAGUGUUUUUUCUCAGUGGGAACACACAUCACCUCUUCAUCAUCAUGCCAGCUGACCCUCACAGCAGAACAAAUGAAAGUCUGGGGACAUGUAAACCCACCUUCAGUGCUUCCAGUGAAAUGUUUCUACACUGUAAAAGGGUCUGGUGUUAAUCAUCCCUCUGAUCUCUCUUCUCCUGUUUCAGUGUUUGUGCUGGGUGAGUGA